UCUAACAGAAAUAUCAGUUCUAGAGUCUAACAAAAAUUUACAAUCAUUCAAAAUCAAAUUCAAUUCAGAAAUGUCUAAAUGUGGAUACUGAAAAGCUUAAAUCACUUGCAAACAGUCCAUAAAAAUGCAGUCAUUAAAAAAAAAAAAUUUCGUCACAAAGAGCAAACAGUGACAGAGAGUUAAAAUUCUAACAAUUAUCGGCGUACCAUUAUCUUCCGAGAAACCAGAAACACCAUGUUGAAAUAUAUCCUCAGAGUUUUCCACAACAAAAUUGUAGUCAAUAAAAUCUUGAGUUUGAAACAAAGUCUCGUCUAUUUAACAAAACCAACUAAAAUUGUCCAAAUUUGAAGAUGACGUACGAAUUUGGAGAGAAAUGGCUUCAAGAUCACGAGUAGGGUUUGAGGAAUAAAACAAGUUUCUGCCCUAAUAUAAAGUAGCAGUGGUAUUUCCAUGCAAAACACAAGCACGUUGAAUAGUUUCCUAAUCCAAGAUAUAAUGCAUGACGUCUUCCACAAG
rnacentral:lncRNA from 1 species